CCCCUAAAUAGGGACUGGAAUGAAUGGCUUAAUGAGGACAAAACUGUCUCUUACGGACUAGCCAAUGAAAUUGAUCCUUCAGUACAAAAGCUGAAAUUAACCCAUAAGACGAGAAGACCCUGUGGAGCUUCAAAACCAAAACCACCAAACAUGCUUCCUGGUUUUUUAGUUGGGGCGACUUUGGAGCAAAAAAAACCCUCCAAAACAUAAAUCCAUUUAUUAAGACUAACACAUCAAAAAUAAUAUCAUAGACCCAGCAGUACCUAUUUACUGCCUGACCAAUGAACCAAGUUACCCCAGGGAUAACAGCGCCAUCCUCUUCUAGAGUCCCUAUCGACAAGAGGGUUUACGACCUCGAUGUUGGAUCAGGGCACCCCUAUAGUGCAGCCGCUAUAAAAGGUUCGUUUGUUCAACGAUUAAAGUCCUACGUGAUCUGAGU
rnacentral:rRNA from 1 species